rnacentral:rRNA from 1 species
GAUGAACGCUGGCGGCGUGCCUAAUACAUGCGAGUCGAGCGAACGGACGAGAAGCUUGCUUCUCUGAUGUUAGCGGCGGACGGGUGAGUAACACGUGGAUAACCUACCUAUAAGACUGGGAUAACUUCGGGAAACCGGAGCUAAUACCGGAUAAUAUUUUGAACCGCAUGGUUCAAAAGUGAAAGACGGUCUUGCUGUCACUUAUAGAUGGAUCCGCGCUGCAUUAGCUAGUUGGUAAGGUAACGGCUUACCAAGGCAACGAUGCAUAGCCGACCUGAGAGGGUGAUCGGCCACACUGGAACUGAGACACGGUCCAGACUCCUACGGGAGGCAGCAGUAGGGAAUCUUCCGCAAUGGGCGAAAGCCUGACGGAGCAACGCCGCGUGAGUGAUGAAGGUCUUCGGAUCGUAAAACUCUGUUAUUAGGGAAGAACAUAUGUGUAAGUAACUGUGCACAUCUUGACGGUACCUAAUCAGAAAGCCACGGCUAACUACGUGCCAGCAGCCGCGGUAAUACGUAGGUGGCAAGCGUUAUCCGGAAUUAUUGGGCGUAAAGCGCGCGUAGGCGGUUUUUUAAGUCUGAUGUGAAAGCCCACGGCUCAACCGUGGAGGGUCAUUGGAAACUGGAAAACUUGAGUGCAGAAGAGGAAAGUGGAAUUCCAUGUGUAGCGGUGAAAUGCGCAGAGAUAUGGAGGAACACCAGUGGCGAAGGCGACUUUCUGGUCUGUAACUGACGCUGAUGUGCGAAAGCGUGGGGAUCAAACAGGAUUAGAUACCCUGGUAGUCCACGCCGUAAACGAUGAGUGCUAAGUGUUAGGGGGUUUCCGCCCCUUAGUGCUGCAGCUAACGCAUUAAGCACUCCGCCUGGGGAGUACGACCGCAAGGUUGAAACUCAAAGGAAUUGACGGGGACCCGCACAAGCGGUGGAGCAUGUGGUUUAAUUCGAAGCAACGCGAAGAACCUUACCAAAUCUUGACAUCCUUUGACAACUCUAGAGAUAGAGCCUUCCCCUUCGGGGGACAAAGUGACAGGUGGUGCAUGGUUGUCGUCAGCUCGUGUCGUGAGAUGUUGGGUUAAGUCCCGCAACGAGCGCAACCCUUAAGCUUAGUUGCCAUCAUUAAGUUGGGCACUCUAAGUUGACUGCCGGUGACAAACCGGAGGAAGGUGGGGAUGACGUCAAAUCAUCAUGCCCCUUAUGAUUUGGGCUACACACGUGCUACAAUGGACAAAACAAAGGGCAGCGAAACCGCGAGGUCAAGCAAAUCCCAUAAAGUUGUUCUCAGUUCGGAUUGUAGUCUGCAACUCGACUACAUGAAGCUGGAAUCGCUAGUAAUCGUAGAUCAGCAUGCUACGGUGAAUACGUUCCCGGGUCU